rnacentral:rRNA from 1 species
GACAGAGGGGGCGAGCGUUGUCCGGAGUCACUGGGCGUAAAGCGCGCGCAGGCGGCAACCUUAGUGGCGUGUGAAAGCCCCCGGCUCAACCGGGGGAGGCCAUGGCAAACUGGGUCGCUCGAGCUGCGGAGAGGCCCCUCGAAUUGCCGGUGUAGCGGUGAAAUGCGUAGAGAUCGGCAGGAAGACCAAGGGGGAAGCCAGGGGGCUGGCCGCAGGCUGACGCUGAGGCGCUACAGCGUGGGGAGCAAACCGG